UAAUUUUCGAUUUUCGAGGGACUCGGCAGCAUUUUGUUACCUAACUUAAUUAAUUAUUUUUUUCCCUAACUCCCAUCCGAUCAAAACCUCUUUUUCUCCUUUCCCGCACGACUCUCUCUCUCUCUCUCUCUCCUCCUCACCGCAUUCAUACGAGAUCUGCCGUUCCGCGGGUGCGCGCGCGACGCCAUCCGAUCGUCGCCGUCAUCCGUAGCCGCCUCCGCCGCGAUCCUCAUUGGCCGUUAUUUCUUUUUGGUUCGCUAUCGACGGAAUCUUGCCGUCGUCUUCACCGUUUUCGAAAAGGUUUUUCUCUUUUCCUCAUUUUACCUCUAUAUCGAACCUUGUGAUCAUCCAACCUUCUUGUUUAUCGUUAUAUUAUUAUUUUGAAUACUCGCCUCAUGAUGAUCGAAAUUUAAAACUAUCAAAAUCUGAUUUGCUUUGAUCUAAAUAUGUGUUAUUCGAUCUAUCAUUUUAUCUUGUAUUCCUAUCUGAUUUAGUUAUAUAAAUCCUCCAUAUUCUGC
rnacentral:lncRNA from 1 species